UGGAGCCGUAUGAAGGGAAACUCCCACGUACAGUUUGUUUUGGGGGGGAAGGAGCCUGAUAGGGUCCCCCCACUGACUUGGCCUGGGCCUAAGUGAAAGUGAAAAAGUGAAGUGGUGGGCCUACCCAUCCCAAC
rfam:Oryza brachyantha chromosome 6, whole genome shotgun sequence.